GAAAAAGGUUCCGGCCUCAGCCGGCGCACCUGGCGGAGGAGGAACCUCGCGACGCGCUCUCGGGCAUCGGUUUCUCCCAGCAAAGCUUGGAGGGUUUAGCUGCGCGGAGAGCUCAGCGAGCUCUUCUGUGUCUGUUUGGGGCGUGUGGGCUCCGGGAGCGUGAGGACCGGGAAGCUAGGAGGCUCCUUCCCUUCUGGCGGCUCCCUCACUGAGACCGGGCGGUUUGGUUGCGGGGGAAGUGGAGACGAGCCACCCUUGACCUUUGACUGCAAGAACUCACCUUGAGCAGGAUAGAGGCACGUGGACGGUGACCCUCGGGAUGCAAUAAAUGCUGAGACAGAUCAGGUGUGCAAGGCACAGAGCUAGAGGCCAGAGGCCUUUCUUCUCCAACCUUCAGUCACCUCUUUUUAAAGUGAAGCCAGCAUCCUCCUCGGGGUUUACUGUGAAAAUUAAGUGAGCUGACGCGUGCUGUGUUUUGAUGUUGCUUGGCUCCUACAAACAUUGAGUGGGCCAGACACUGUUCUGAAAAAUACGCAGUCGACUUUUGAACAGCACAGGCUUGAACUGCAUGCGGCCACUAAUACUCGGACUUCCUUCUGCCUCUGCCAUCCCUAAGACAGCAAGACCCACCCCUCCUGCUCCUCAGCCUACUCGAUGUGAUGAUGAUGCAGAGAUUCAGAGAGUCUAAGCAACUUUUCUAAAUCAUCUAGCUGGAAUUCAGUAACUGAGCCAGGAUCUACCCCAGGUCUGUCUGACUCCAAAGCCUGUGUCUUCCAGCACACACUGCUGCUGCCUGGGCAGGAAUGUGGAUAUGAUGUCUGGAGCUCUAGCAACCAUAUCAGACCACAAGGAUGAAUGUACACCCCAGGAAUGGAAGAGAGGAAAGCCAGAAAAAGACUCGGUCCCUGAUGGCUGAAGAGCUACCAUACCUGCCCCUAGAUCUUCUAUUUCUGAUCAUCUUCUAUGCAAGGGGGCUUACCUUGGAGAAUGGCACCACCGUCUCAUCAGUUACUCAAGCCAUGAACCUGCUGCCAUAUUUGAGUCUUUCCCCUCCCUCGGAGCCUACAUCCGACUGCUCAGUGGUGUCUCGUGUCGUCCUUAUUUUGUCACUUGACAAGCAUUGGCUGAGUCCCUGCUGUGUGCCCUGCACUGCACUGGACAUUCAGAGUACAACACAGUCCCUAUAAUCAGGCUCUUGCAAUCCCGAGGGAUCAAGAUGCAAAGAUCGUUGAGUCCAUCAGCCCUACACCCUGCAUCUCCUGCUAUGGGAGCAGAGUGGGAAGGACACCAAGGCUUACAGAGGCUGUGCGCAAUCACGUGGCGUCAGCAGCAGAGCCCCGUGCCCAGGCACCUGGAAAUUGCAUCCAUCCCUGGACUGUGGUGGGUCCAUGGGGCUCAGGGUGGGGAUGGGGCUCCUUCCCGGACUUCACAGGGGUGGGCUCAGCCACCCCCGUGGGCUGUUUCAGCUCCAGCAUUCUCUGGGCCAAGAUUAAACGUUAAUUUGUAAUGGGGUCUGCUGAAGGUAUCUUCGGUUGCAGCCUCGAGGCAGAUUACUCCGGAAUCUCAGUGGAAUGAAUCAGAGGCCUGCUUUUGGCAGUAAGCAUCUGAAGCUUAACCAGGGAAAGAUGACAAUUUAUGCUGCGUCGAAGAGGACGAUAGCUUUCUUGUUUUACUGCCAGAAGAACACCAUGGGGUAGGGAUCUGAAGAUGGAAAACCAACGCUGUGUCGGCUGGAAAACUUUUGUUUUUAUUUAUGAGACUGAUUUGUAUAUGUUAAGGCCAAUUGGUAGAAAUUGGCCCAUUUGCAAAUUGGCAGACAGAGAAAAAUCUUGAUUUAGGACUAAAAGCAACGAAGCUAAGACAAUAAAAAGAGAAUCAUGUUCAUUAAGUUAAAAAAGCAGACUCCUAUUCAAGCUUUUUUUCCCUUAAAUUCUUAACUUCUCUAAUUGCAAAUGAGUUUGAGAUAGUUUACAGAGACGCAAUAUAAUAGGAUAAAAAUAAAUAGAUUAAGAAAUCAGGACAAAGGGAAAAUAAAGAAAGGAUAAUAGAAUAAAGCCAGAGAAAGAUAAUAAACAGAACUAUAUAUGAUACUCUUGGGAACAUUAAAAAUAAUAUUUAAAAAACUUUUAAAUUGAGGUAUAACGUGCAUAUAAGUAAGAAAGUCUUAAGUGUUUAGCUAGCUCAAUGAAGCUUGUGGCCCAAAAUUACCUGAGACAGGUCUCAACCAACUUAGAAAGUUUAUUUUGCCAAGGUUAACAGCCUCAGGAGGUCCUGACGACAUGUGUCCAUGAUGGUCCGGGUACGGCUUGCUUUUAUACAUUUUAGGGAGACAUAAUACAUCAAUCAAUACAUGUAAGAUUUACAUUGGUUUGAUCUGGAAGGAGGGUACAAUUUCAACUGGGAUGGGGGGCACUUCCUGGUCAUAGGUAGAUUUAAAAUGUUUCUACCUGGCAAUUGGUUGAAAGAGUUACUAUCAAUAGAAAGGAAUGUGUGGGUUAUACUAAGGGGUUGCGAAGGCCAAGGCUUUAUCAUGCAGCUGAAGCCUCCAAGUAGCAGGCUUCAGAGAGAAGAGUUUGUAAAUGUUUCUUGUCAGACCUAAGGUCUGUGUUGAUGAUAAUGCUGGAGGGUAGAUGAGGCAGGUCCGAUCCUCUCUUCCAUCGUGUCCUGAACUCGUUUUUCAGGUUGACUCUGGAAUGGCCUUGGCCAAGAGGAGGGGUCCCCAUUCACAUGGUUGAUGGGAGGCCUUAGAAUUUUAGUUUUGGUUUACAGGUUUUACAUGUGUGGCCAACAGGUGACCACCACCAAUAAAGAUAUAGAACCCUUGUAGAUUCUAUUAGGCUUCCCCUUCUCAUCAGCACCUCAGAAGAGGUGGCCACUACUCCAACUUUUCUCACCAUAUAUUAGUUCUGCCUGCUCUUAAGCCUUCAUGUAAAUUGGAUUACAUGGUAAAUACUCCUUUGUAUCUAUCUCCCUUCACUAUUACAUCUGUGAGUUUCACUCACGUUAUUGUAGGCAGCUGUACCCUCCUCUCCCUCACUGCUGCAUAGUACUCUUUAUAUCUCAUGUGAAGGACUUAUCCAUUCUACUGGUGAGGGAAAUGUGGGCCAUUUCUACUUUUUGGCUUUAUACAUGAAGGUGCUGUGAACAUUCUUAGGCAUGUGGUAUGGUUUGGAUCUACGUCCCCACCCAAAUCUCAUGUUCAAUUGUAAUGCCCAGUGUUGGAGAUGGGGCCUGGUGGAAGGUGAUUAGAUCAUGGGGGUAGAGUUCUCAUGAAUGGUUUGGCACCAUCCCCCACUUGGUACUGUAUAGUGAGUGAGUUCUCACUGGGAUCUGGUUGUAAAAGUGUGUGGCACCUCCCCCCACCUAAUCCCCCACUUUUCUCCUGCUCUGGUAAUGUAAAGUGCUGGCUUCCCCUUCACCUUCCACCAUGAUUGUAAGUUUCCUGAGGUCUUCCCAGAAGCAGAUGCUGCCA
rnacentral:lncRNA from 1 species